CCUACAGAUCAGGAUGUAGCUCUCAGCUCCUUCUCCAGCACCAUGUCUGCCUGCACACUGCUGUACUGCCCACCACGACGAUAACGGACCAAACCUCCGAAACUGCAGAUUGUUCCCAGGGUUGGCUUGGUUCAUCUGUUUCCUAGUCCAUUAAUCCAUUGCUCUUGCUGCCUUGGCUCCGUGGGCAUCUUUUCAGAUGGAACAUACACAAGCUGCUUCCUCCCCCACACUGCUCUUGAAAGAGAGAAGAAAGCAAACGCAGCCGUCCUGCAGAAGCUUCCUCUCUCCUUGCAGACACUGGCCCCUUUGAGGUUCAACAGCGUCCUAGCAGAUAUUUGUCCAUGUCCCAUUACUUAGACGCAGCACACUCUCCUCAGCAGACAAGCUCAUCUUUCUGGGAGACUAUUCCUUUCCUGGCCUAAUGGAUCCUGUCAGAGGCAGGAUGUGGCUUUUGCCAUCACAGUCUUAAAAAAAAAAAAAAAAAACCACAAAAGCCCACAGGGAUAACGGCUACCGUGGCGGUGGCAUUGUACCGGCCCCGUCAGCAUUGGGAUUUGAUGAAGAAGAAAAGGAAAAAUAUGGAAAGUUUGAAACACUUAAUAACUUAUGAGAGAAACUCAGAUGCAUAAUUACAAGGGUUGCUUGCAAAUUUUAAUUAAAACUUGGGUGGAAACGAACA